rnacentral:rRNA from 1 species
GAUGAACGCUGACAGAAUGCUUAACACAUCAGCAAUUGAUUGGUGGCGGACGGGUGAGUAACGCGUAAAGAACUUACCUCACAGUUAGGGACAACAUUUGGAAACGAAUGCUAAUACCUAAUACUGUGAGAGAGCUUUGCGUCCCAUUAGCUAGUCGGAGAGGUAACGGCUCACCAAGGCGAUGAUGGGUAGCCGGCCUGAGAGGGUGAUCGGCCACAAGCGGACUGGGACGCGGCCCUUACGCCUACUGGGGGAAUCAGUGGGGAAUAGUGGGCAAUGGACCAAAGUCUGAUCCAGCAAUUCGGUUUGCACAAUGAAGUUUUCGGAAUGUAAAGUGCUUUCAGUUAGGAAGCGGUACCAACAGAAGAAGUGACGGCUAAAUACGUGCCAGCAGCCGCGGUAAUAC